rnacentral:rRNA from 1 species
GACGAACGCUGGCGGCGUGCUUAACACAUGCAAGUCGAACGGAAAGGCCUUUUCGGAGGUACUCGAGUGGCGAACGGGUGAGUAACACGUGGGUGAUCUGCCCUGCACUCUGGGAUAAGCCUGGGAAACUGGGUCUAAUACCGGAUAGGACCGCACUUUAGUGUGUGUGGUGGAAAGUUUUUUCGGUGUAGGAUGAGCCCGCGGCCUAUCAGCUUGUUGGUGGGGUAAUGGCCUACCAAGGCGGCGACGGGUAGCCGGACUGAGAGGUUGGUCGGCCACAUUGGGACUGAGAUACGGCCCAGACUCCUACGGGAGGCAGCAGUGGGGAAUAUUGCACAAUGGGCGCAAGCCUGAUGCAGCGACGCCGCGUGGGGGAUGACGGCCUUCGGGUUGUAAACUCCGUUCGCCAGGGACGAAGCGUUUUGUGACGGUACCUGGAGAAGAAGCACCGGCUAACUACGUG